rnacentral:rRNA from 1 species
GAUGAACGCUGGCGGCGUGCCUAAUACAUGCAAGUCGAGCGAACGGACGAGAAGCUUGUUUCUCUGAUGUUAGCGGCGGACGGGUGAGUAACACGUGGAUAACCUACUUCUCUGACUGGGAUAACUUCGGGAAACCGGAGCUAAUACCGGAUGAUAUUUUGUACCGCAUGGUUCAAGAGUGAAUGACGGUCUUGCUGUCACUUAUAGACGGAUCCGCGUUGCAUUAGCGAGUUGGUAAGGUAACGGCUUACCAAGGCAACGAGGCAUAGCCGACCUGAGAGGGGGAGCGGGCACAAUGGAACUGAGACACGGUCCAGACUCCUACGGGAGGCAGCAGUAGGGAAUCUGCCGCAAUGGGCGAAAGCCUGACGGAGCAACGCCGCGUGAGUGAUGAAGGCCUUCGGAUCGUAAACCUCUGUUAUGAGGGAAGAACAUAUGUGUAAGUAACUGGGCACAUCGUGACGGUACCUAAUCAGAAAGCCACGGCUAACUACGUG